rnacentral:rRNA from 1 species
UACGAAGGGUGCAAGCGUUAAUCGGAAUUACUGGGCGUAAAGCGCACGUAGGCGGAUUGUUAAGUCAGGGGUGAAAUCCUGGAGCUCAACUCCAGAACUGCCUUUGAUACUGGCGAUCUCGAGUCCGGGAGAGGUGAGUGGAACUGCGAGUGUAGAGGUGAAAUUCGUAGAUAUUCGCAAGAACACCAGUGGCGAAGGCGGCUCACUGGCCCGGUACUGACGCUGAGGUGCGAAAGCGUGGGGAGCAAACAGG